AGCUGUCCCACACCCAAAGCUGAACUUGGGUGACGUCCUUCUCCAGGAUUCAUUGCUCUUCAGCCACCUGCAGCUGUGCAGAUGACCUUGCAGGAGAUGACCUUGAAGCCUUUUGAUUCUGAUUCCUGGAAAACUCAGUAGACAUCCUGGUCUGCUUCUUCUGCAAAUGUGCUUUCAUAAGCUGCUUAUUCCACAGUUAGACCCAAGCUCCACAUGCUACUGUCUCCCAGUAAUUUGCGGUAUGUUUCCCAUCACGUAAACAGAAACAGAGGAGGGCCCCCGGCUGCUCUCUGCUCUGCUGCAGAUGCCUCCCCACCCUCCUGGCUGUUGUCGUACACAACGCUUCUUUUGAACAAUUAAAAACUUUAAAGCCGUAGUCGCCUCCACGCUGAAUUUAAGAAUAGGUAGAGAACUGUAUUCACUUCAAAAGCUGUCACAGUUCCACAGAGGUGACACACAACAAUCACUGCUACAGUAGAAACAUAAAAUCACGUGGUUUAUGGUUUGACAUAUGAAGAACCUGGAAGUCAUUACAAUCAUCCUCAGAACAACAACAACAACAAAAUUUUAAUAAUCUGAAAAUCAACCUCAGAAAGUGAGGAGAAGGGUGAUCUGUAGGAAUCAAUCCUUAGUGUAGACAGAAGCCCAGGAAAGGCUGCCCACCCACUGAAGUCAGCACUGCUAAGACAUGUGGUUUAGCAUUUGUCAUUAAUUUUGGGAGAUUCUCAGUCACCAUUACUUCAAAUGAGCAAGUAAGAUUCAUAUUGGGUAUGCAAGUCUGGUUCAACAGCCAACUGUGAGCCAUGUAUUCCAGCACAUCAGCAGCGGAGGGAAGAACAGAAAUUCUAUGCAGAAAUACCACACUCUUUCGUGAUUUAAAAACAAAACAACCUCAGUCAAGGAGGAAUAGAUUGGGAGCUCCUCAGCCUUACAUAAAACACCUCCAGGUAAGGUGUAAUUAAGGUUAAGUGAGGUCCUAAGUGUGGGCCCUCAUAGAAUCUGAACAACAUCUUUAUAAGAAGAGGAGGAAAGACCAAGGAUGUACACAAAGAAAAGUCCAGAUGAGGACACAAAGAAGACAGCUCUUUAUAAGCCAAGGGAGAGGACUUAGGAGAAACUAUGGCAGCCCACACCUUGAUCCUGGACUUGCAUCCUCCUGAACUGCAGAAGGUGAAUCUCCAUUAGGUCCCCAGUCUGUGGUACUUUUUUUAUAACAGCCCCAGUGAACUGGUGCAGUGCCAGAACUUACAUGAAAGAGUUGUUCAGCUCUUAUCUUUUCCUCAAUAUUAUACAAUUCCAAUGAGAUUGGUGCCAUAUUAUAGCAUCCACAGGAGUGCCUGAGACCUCACAAAUCUGAGAGGAGUGGUGGGUCCACAAUUUGAUCCAGGGCAUUUGGGUUUGAGUUAGUUUUGAUUACAUACAAAAAAAAACUUUCUUGUAAAUAUUUUUCUACUCAGAUAACAUGAAACCACUGUACAGCAUGAAUGUAAUGUGGAAUACUUAUGGUAUACAAAAUAAAAGCUGUUCGCUAGUAAUUUGCUUUCAUCUUCUGCAAGUGCAAGUGCGUAACGUAUAGCAAGGUAUCUGAUAAGUUGUAGUAAAACUUGGUCAUGAUGGACAUCAUCAUAGAGUUGGGAAUGGCUAUAUUUCACCUUAAUUGUCCUUAUUGGUUAGUAUUUCUACAUGGGUGUCUAUUCCAAAUAAAUUAUUUUGCUUUAAAAAUGUUUACAUCAACAUGAAAAUGAAUUGCAUUGAUAUUUUGUAGAAGAAUGAUAUGCAAAAUAAAAAUAAAGCAAAACAUCAGA